GAGGUCGGUUUAACUGACUUUUAAUCAGGUGGUCGCGGGUUCGAGUCCCGCCCGGCUCACCA
rnacentral:tRNA from 1 species